GGGGCUGUAGCUCAGUGGUAGAGCGCUUGCCUUGGAUGUGGGAGGCACUGGGUUCGAUCCUCAGCACCA
rfam:Ictidomys tridecemlineatus contig056463, whole genome shotgun sequence.